rnacentral:rRNA from 1 species
AUUGAACGCUGGCGGCAGGCCUAACACAUGCAAGUCGAGCGAGAAAGUCCUUCGGGAUGAGUAGAGCGGCGGACGGGUGAGUAAUGCGCAGGAAUCUGCCCAAAAGCGGGGGAUAACUUGGGGAAACCCAAGCUAAUACCGCAUAAUCCUACGGGUGAAAGAUGGGGACCUUCGGGCCUAUCACUUUUGGAGGAGCCUGCGUGGGAUUAGCUAGUUGGUGGGGUAAAGGCCUACCAAGGCGACGAUCCCUAGCUGGUCUGAGAGGAUGAUCAGCCACACUGGGACUGAGACACGGCCCAGACUCCUACGGGAGGCAGCAGUGGGGAAUAUUGGACAAUGGGCGCAAGCCUGAUCCAGCCAUGCCGCGUGUGUGAAGAAGGCUCUAGGGUUGUAAAGCACUUUAAGUUGUGAGGAAGAGUGUAAAAUUAAUACUUUUGCAUUUUGACGUUAGCAACAGAAUAAGCACCGGCUAACUCCG